rnacentral:rRNA from 1 species
CGCGGCGGCAGCUUCACAUUGCAGUUCGAGCGGUAACGCGGGAAGCUUGGUUUCUCGCGGACGAGCGGGGGGCGGGGGAGUAAAGUAUGGGGAACUGCGCGAUAUAGGGGGGUAUCCCCUGUCGACGGAGUGGCUUACCGCGCAAUCUCUUAACUGGGGAGCGGGGGAGCUUCCGUCCUUGCUCUAUAUUGAUGAACCCCUAUGGGAUAAUCUAUUAUGUGGGGUAAUGGCUCACCUAGGGCACCAUCCCUAACUGGUCUGAAGGAUGAUCCAGCACACUGGGACUGAAACACCGCCCCAACUCCUACCGGAGGCAACCGUGGGGAAUAUUGGGAAUGGGCGGAAACCUGAUGCAGCCAUGCCGCGUGGAUGAAUAAGGCCCUUCGGUUUUAAAGUACUUUUUGUCGGGAGGAAGGCGUUGAUGCUAAUAUCAUCAUACAUUGACGUUACCGACAGAAAUAGCACCGGCUAACUCCGUGCCAGCAGCCGCCGUAAUACGGAAGGUGCAAGCGUUAAUCGGAAUUACUGGGCGUUAAGCGCACGUGUAGCGCGUUGAUUAAGUUAGAUGUGUGAAUCCCCCGGGCUUCACCUGGUGAAUGGCAUCUUUUUACUGUGUCAGACUAUAGAUCUAUGUAGAAGGGGGUAGAAUUCUCACUGUGUGAUACGCAUGUAAAUAGCGCUAUGAGAUUGUGUGAGAGAAAUACACGCGUGUGCGCAAAGCGCGGCCCCUGGGACAAUAGACUCGUACGCGUCUACAGUGCCGCAAAAGACGCUGUCGGGAGAGCAACACGGGAUUAGAUAUCACCAUGUGUAGAGCCCACAGCUCUCAUAACACAUAGUGCUCAUUCUGAUCUGUUUGUUGCCCCUGUGUAGGACCUGUACUUUUGCGGCAGCUAACGCUGUUGAAAUCUGACCCGCCCUGGGGGAGCUACGGCCGCAAGGAUUUAAAACUCAGAUGCAUUGUACGGGGACCCGCACAAGCGGCUGUAGCAUGUGGAUUAAUUUCGAUGCCAACGCGAGAAGCCUAACUAACUCAUGACAUGCUCUAGAAGUUCACCAUAGAUGCGUCAGUUGCCUUGCAGUAAUCUGACGCAGGGAGCUGCCCACAUGCAGUGUCGCUCUAGCAUCUCGAUUGC